GCUAGGUCGUGACAGUAGCAUGUUUAAGAUAAAGGUUUGAACAGUUUAAGCGAUUUUAAGCGGAUAACAUCAUUUCAAAUGUAAAUGCAUUAAUGUAGCCAUAUUUAGCAACAUGGAUAUAUUAGGAGUAACCAUAGAUACAUCGAGAUUGUUGGGUCGUUGGCAUGUGUACCAAAUUUGACGGAAACCGAAACACUUACUAUUCAAUACUGGUUACAUGUACAUGGAUUAGGAAUCAUAUGUAACUUUAAAAAAAAGAACUAUAACACUGUGAAUGCCUCAUUAAACAUUUAAAAACUCAACCCGUAUGUUCCACGGAUACCCAGGUAAAAAACGAUUCAUAUACGAGAGAUCAAGGGAUACAGUUAGUUGUUCUCGUUGAAGAUGGCUCAAAACAGGCAAAGCAAACAAAACCAAACCGCAUUAACAGAAGGGAAUGUGUCGAUAACUGCCCAAAAUUUGGAAAGUAUUUAGACAUAUGAUAAAGAAGUACCAUAAAAAUUUCAUGUGUCCUUGAUUUUUCUGCAGUCAAUGAACAAAUAAUACCAUUUAGAAGAAAAACAUUAUUUUCUUAUGCAAGGGAAAUGACACUUUCGUUCACCGCAAGGGGGUGUAACAGACGAAUAUAUGUUUUCGGAAGUCAAAUCGAGGGGACUGCAUUAUUUGGAAUGAUGUCUGACGUUGACUUUUUACAGCGUCAUGAUACGUUUCGUUUGGUUCUUGAUUCAGAAAACGGGCCCAUUCAGCAGCAAGAUCAACAAGUCGUAAUAAAGGUAAGCACAAACGGCUGUGCUCCGCAGCACUGUGUUUUGACAAUGAUUGGACCAUCAACACAAGCAAGGCAUUUUCAAAAAAUGGAUCCUAAGCUGGCUCAGGUUGAUUUAGUUGACUUUUUUCAUAAGGGUUGGAUGACAACAUCCGGAAUAAUUCCACGUAGAAUCAUGCUGGAACGAAAUCAUCAUCCAUUGAUAAGAAGACAAUUAAAACAACACGGACCUGCAGAAAAAAAUCAUGAAUAUGGACACUGAAAACGCGUGUUACUGUAAAAGUAUUCCGAAAUAAUGUAUGUUUUUCUUCGAUAGGCCUCGGCCCGGUCACUGGCCGUUGGAGAAGACGUUGAACAAAGCCAAUAAUUAUGGUGUCUUUAUAGUUCCACAGGGACCUUCCAAAAGUACGAACAUGUGUACGGACGAUUAUUUUGAUUCUCAAUGGCGAAUUUCCACUUAUCUUACUGAUCGGUUAUUAAUGUUCUGUUUAGAUACUGUAUAUAUAAAAGCAUAUGUUCUGACAAAGAUAUUAAGAAAGGAGUUGUUUGUGCAAGAAUAUCGAGACAGGCUCAGUACAUUUCAUUUCAAAACAGCCUUCUUCUUUACGGUCGAAAACACUAGGCCUGAUGUGUGGAGAGAGGAUAAUAUUAUCAAGUGCGGUAAGUAUCUUCUUGCAACUUUGAGGCGCUUCAUGAAAUGCCGCAAGUGUCCACAUUUUACCAUAGAGAAUGUUAACCUGUUUGAGGAAAAAAUUGAAAUACAUGAGUUUCGA